AAGGUACUCCCUCCGUUCGGAAUUACUCGUUCGAGAAAUGAAUGUAUCUAGAUGUAUUUUAGUUGUAGAUACAUCCAUUUUUGUGACAAGUAAUUCCGAACGGAGGGAGUAGAAA
rfam:Triticum aestivum genome assembly, contig: Triticum_aestivum_CS42_TGACv1_scaffold_641197_T_4BS-0.178267_1DL-0.133121